rnacentral:rRNA from 1 species
CGGACGGGUGAGUAACGCGUGAGAAUCUGCCUCUUGGUCGGGGAUAACAGUUGGAAACGACUGCUAAUACCGGAUGAGCCGUAAGGUAAAAGAUUUAUUGCCAAGAGAAGAGCUCGCGCCUGAUUAGCUAGAUGGUGGGGUAAAAGCCUACCAUGGCGACGAUCAGUAGCUGGUCUGAGAGGAUGAGCAGCCACACUGGGACUGAGACACGGCCCAGACUCCUACGGGAGGCAGCAGUGGGGAAUUUUCCGCAAUGGGCGCAAGCCUGACGGAGCAAUACCGCGUGAGGGAGGAAGGUUCUUGGAUCGUAAACCUCAAAACUUAGGGAAGAAACAAAUGACGGUACCUAACAUAAGCAUCGGCUAACUCCGUGCCAGCAGCCGCGGUAAUACGGAGGAUGCAAGCGUUAUCCGGAAUUAUUGGGCGUAAAGAGUCUGUAGGUGGCACUUCAAGUCUGCUGUCAAAGACCGAAGCUUAACUUCGGAAAGGCGGUGGAAACUGAAGAGCUAGAGUAAAGCAGGGGUAGAGGGAAUUCCCAGUGUAGCGGUGAAAUGCGUAGAGAUUGGGAAGAACACCAGUGGCGAAGGCGCUCUACUGGGCUUUAACUGACACUGAGAGACGAAAGCUAGGGUAGCGAAAGGGAUUAGAUACCCCUGUAGUC